GUCCUCACUUCAGCAGUACAUAUACUAAAAUUGGAAUGAUGCAGAGAAGAUUAGCAUGGCCCUGCACAAGGAUGAUAUGCAAAUUCAUGAAGCAUUAUAAAAUAAU
rnacentral:snRNA from 1 species